rnacentral:rRNA from 1 species
AUUGAACGCUGGCGGAAUGCUUUACACAUGCAAGUCGAACGGCAGCACGGGGGCAACCCUGGUGGCGAGUGGCGAACGGGUGAGUAAUGUAUCGGAACGUGCCCAGUCGUGGGGGAUAACGUAGUGAAAAUUACGCUAAUACCGCAUACGAUCUACGGAUGAAAGCGGGGGAUCGCAAGACCUCGCGCGAUUGGAGCGGCCGAUAUCAGAUUAGGUAGUUGGUGGGGUAAAGGCUCACCAAGCCGACGAUCUGUAGCUGGUCUGAGAGGACGACCAGCCACACUGGAACUGAGACACGGUCCAGACUCCUACGGGAGGCAGCAGUGGGGAAUUUUGGACAAUGGGCGCAAGCCUGAUCCAGCCAUUCCGCGUGCAGGAUGAAGGCCCUCGGGUUGUAAACUGCUUUUGUACGGAGCGAAAAGGCUCUCUCUAAUACAGGGGGCUCAUGACGGUACCGUAAGAAUAAGCACCGGCUAACUACGUGCCAGCAGCCGGUAAACG